CUUGCUGCUGCCGGACGCGGGGGGCCGGCUUGCCGUCCUCGACGUAGCGCAGCUGGAUGCCGGCCCGGCCGGCGAGCCGUUCGACCGACUCGACGAAGC
rnacentral:tRNA from 1 species